rnacentral:rRNA from 1 species
UACGAGGGGCGCAAACGUUAUUCGGAUUUACUGGGCUUAAAGAGUUCGUAGGCGGCGCAGAAAGUAGGGUGUGAAAGCCCUCGGCUCAACCGAGGAACUGCGCUCUAAACUACUGUGCUUGAGGGACCUAGAGGUGAGCGGAACUGAUGGUGGAGCGGUGAAAUGCGUUGAUAUCAUCAGGAACACCGGAGGCGAAGGCGGCUCACUGGGGGUCUUCUGACGCUGAGGAACGAAAGCCAGGGGAGCGAACGGG